UAGUUUCGCUUAGUAAGGAGUUAUCCCGGUGACCGUGGAUUCGUUUGAACUCAAACAUUGCUAAUAGUAUUAUUUAAUUUAAUUAUUCGUAGAUCGUAUUAUUCAUUAGGCUUAGUGUUUGUUAGACUUAUUAUUAGUUGUACUUAUUAUUUGUUAAGCUUAGUGAUAGACCUGUAUAUACGUGUAAAUAAAAUCUCGGCUUUGUGAAACGAUGGCUAGUCCACAUGAAGAGUCGUCGCGCGCCCAAAAUUCGAAUCGUAAUCCGACAUAUUAAUAUUUUUACAAGAUUUAUGUUCCAUAUACAGGGUGGUUGGUAACUGGCGGUACAAGCGGACAGGGGGUGGUUCUACGCGAAAAAAGAAGUCGAAAAUAUACAAUAAAAAUUUUUCGUUUGAGGCUUUGUUUUCGAGAAAAUCGACUUUGAAUUUUCGCUCGGUACGCGUGCACUUUAUCACGUCUCGUUAUAACGGAUUUCACUGUAGAUAGUUGUCCCGAUGGAAAAAUAAAAAAAAAAAAAAAAAAAAAAUUAAAAAAAAAUUUUUAUUCCAUAUUUUCGACAUCCUUUUUCGCGUAGGAUCACCCCCUUGCCGCUUGUAUCGGCUGUUACAACCACCCUGUAUACAUUUAUUUAGUUACUAUUCUCUGCUUAUUUCAUACGAAUUUCAUAGUCUACAGCCUACUUUAUUUAUUAUGUAUGUAACUUAAAAUCAUUGGAAUAAUGAUUUUUGCAUUAACAUUAAUGUACGUGCCAAAUAAUACGUGUACCGGAAAUGACGUUUACAAAAUGGGGCACGCGGUUGGUUAGAAUUAACCGCAGUACAUUUUCGUACGCUAUUGAUUAUUUCCUGUAAAUGAAGAAUUUUAAUAUAAUGUACAAAAUAUAUAAAAUUUAGCAUUAAAAUUGUCGCACAUAUAUUUAAAAAUUAAUUGGAUUAAAGUAUUUUUCAAAAAUUCUAAGAAUGUAAGGUCGACGUAAGAUUUUACACAGAACUAGUUUCCAUUUUCGCGCGUAAGACUACGUCAUAAAGACAGGGGUGGGGGUAUAGAAAGCGGAUUUUAGACGAGCAGCGUAGGCUUCCUUCAGUCAUCUUACGACUUUGCUGUGAGGAGGGUGUUUUGCUCGGUGGUUUCAAAUCCUUUGUGUGCAGUUGUGUGAAUCUCUUCUGUUUUGUUCUACGACAAACACUAGCCGGAUACAAUCUCACCGUUCGAGAUGGCAUUGGGACAAGCGGAGGGAGUUGGUGUUCGCAACGAUGCUGAAACGUACCGCACGCUCGGGGACCCCAUGUUCUCCAAUCUCUGCGCCUUUCAUUGGUUUGGUUUAUAUAUUAUAUUAUAUGUAUUGGUUUGGUAAUAUACGUAAUAAUGAGCGUUCGAAAUAUGUUCGAAGAGUGUUCGAUUCGAUAUUUUUUAUUUUCAGAAAUAUAUACUUUGUAUGUCUUAUAGUUUAAAGAAAAUUUGUAUAGUACAUUUUAGCUUGUAGAUUUAGUAGUAUCGUUUAAAAUAUUCGCUCUAUUAUUCUGAACGUCAAGAUUUUGUAUAUUUGCUUAAUGUUGAUUAACAGUUUCGUAGACUUUAAGAAAUAAAAUGAAAUUAAUAAAAUUUGGAAAAUGUUUACAAUUUUUCUGCAAUCUUCUAGUUCAUAUUAAUGCCAAAAAUGCUUUUCUGCCCAGCACACUACACAUAACAAAAUUCUGUCGCAGGCAAGAGACCCGUACAUGUACCCAGGCUGUUGGCCGUCAUCGGCAAUAUUAUUUGGCCUGUCUGUGUAUGAGAUAAGGAACGACGAGAGAGGAUUGGUACGGGAUAAAGAAGGGACGGAAAGUCUUUGUUUUUAGAAAAUCGUACAUGAAGUUUUCUGGCUGACGAAUGGAUUGCACCAUGAUCAAGUUGUACAUAAACGUCUCAUCACUCCGCGCUUCCGUAUCUUGAACAUCCAAGCAUCAACUAAUUCGAAAAUCGUCUGACGCGCGAUACUCAUAGGCUUAUUGUGACGAACUACAGCAAAUUGUAGCAAAUCUUAUUUGGUGAGCUCUAAUCCCUUUUGUUCGUUAUCUGUGCAAAUGUGUUUUCUCAUGUCCGGAAAAGUUUUUUCAUAGCUUGUACCACCAGGUUGUAUGCGAGUUGUCGAAGCACACAAGGCAAGCCUCCGGUGAAUAUCAAUAAGGAGAGACAGCGCUAGGGGUAAUGGCCCCCCCUAACGCCAAUUCAAUAGUCAGGAAAUAUUAGGACUGGCUAGAACAAGAGAACGCGUGAAGGGGGUGCAACUGAAGUUAAUUCAUAAGAGGAUCCUGGAGCACCCCUGUCAUACGCGUAGGGUGGUCAUCGUGGAGUUUUAGUCGGUAAGAGUCCGACACUACUCUGCUGUUACGCAAUUACUGCAACAGCAGAGUGUCCAUGAGGAUUUCUCCACGUAAAAAAAAAAAAAAAAAAAAAAAAAAAAAAAAAAAAUAUGGUUGUAUGCGAGUUACUCUGGCUUAUUAAUAUUCCUUGUUCAAAGUUGACCAAGCUGAUAAUAAGAGCUUUUUGAGGUAUGGAGUAAAUUGAAUGCAUCUUUGUUGAGUCUAGAUGAUCCAGAAUGGCGAACUACCGCAAGUAGAGCAACUAAUCGAAAUAAUAGACAUGCACAUAUACGUAAUAUGUUUAAUAUGGAUAGGAAAUUGUUUUGAAAUUUAACAAUCAUUGCAAUAAUUACGUCGGUUUGGAAGUCGUAUUACUAGAUACUUAUUUUCACAGAUUUCAAUUCACUUAUCCAUUGAUUGAUGUUGGGACAAAUGAGGAACUUCGCAUGUUAUUAGAUUAACAAAUAAAAUGUAUUGUUCCUGAUAAAUGGUACGCAGAAUAGUAAUGGAAAUAAAAGACUGGUUUAUAUUACAGUUCAAGUGACUGAUAAUAGGAAAGCAGUGAUGGGAAAAUGAGGCAACGUAUUAUAAAAUUGAAUCCCUAAGUAUAGCAUGUAGAUAAUAUUUUGAGUGUUGACGAAGGACAAAAUUAUGCACAUUCCUUUUCCAAUUCCAAGGAAAUACAUCAUUGAUGAGUCAGUUGUCAAAACACGAUGGAAAUUGCUCAUUGUUAAUUGAACAAGUUUGAUAUAAUUACACAAGCUAAAGAUUUAACUUGAAAUUUGUUUGAAGAAAUUUAUUUUUGCUUAUAUCUGAUGUCAAGCGCGGUAUUAAGUAUUACGCUUUUAUAACUAUUGUUUUAAAUAUUUUUGCGUUGAAAUAUUGUCGUUUGGGUGUCUGUUUUGUACUGCAAGAGUACCCGAAAUAAUUAUACUCGUCAUGUACAGCUAAACAACUACAGGCAGUUGAUCCUAUUCCUGGAACGCGUUGGAUUCGUGUUUACAUGGUACGUUGAUUGGAAUCACUUAGAGACGGAUUACUGGGGGUAUGAGUAAUUAUGUUUCAGCCAGGCUUGGAUAGAGAACGCGUUUAAUCGACGUUUAAAGGUCCGCUUAAAAUACACAUGCUCUGGUAGUUUCUAAUUGGAUCGUUAUAGAUGUCGUAUACUUUCUGCUAAAUCCGUUUUUGGGAGACAUUAAGAUGAAAAAGGUCGUAUUUUUAAAGAGGGGGAGAGAGGUGGUAUGCUUUGGAUAAAGGUAACAAUUUUAUAUGAAGGAUGAUUAUUGUAAACAUUGAAUAUAAUUGGGGAAAAUUGAGAAACUGGUGCAACUUGUCGUAUUAUGAGCUACAGGUCUGGUGCUGUGUCUAUCUCUUAUCACUUUAAUACAAUGGAUGAGACAUUUGUAUGGCGUUUUUUGAUAAUGGAAAACGUGUUCGUGCUGUAUGUUUUGCAUUCAAUAACAGGAAAUGGUUCUGCAAUUUCAGUAAUUCAAAGUACUUGCAGUAUAAUGAUAAGCAUAAUACAAUAUAAAUUUGCAUUUCAUCCGGCUACUGAAGGAAAUACUUGUUUGACAAUGGAACAGAUCAUUGCUAAGAAAGGAAGAAACCAGCAGAUUGUGUAUCUAUAAUCUAUUCUAAAUUAAGAUCAUCGUUUCACGUUUAAUAUUUUAGAUCUGCAAAAGGUGAUUGACAUUUCAUUGUGAUGACUGUAUACAUUGAAGUUAUAUUUGUCCUUGCUACUUUUUGUUAUUUGUGAAAGUAUGUAGGAUGUAUAAUAGACAAAUAUAGGGAGGAUACAAAUAGCCUUAACUCUUCUGCAGAAGGAGAAAGAAAAAUAAAGGGUGAUAAGGAAAUGCAUAUCAUACCAUACAAAUAAUUUCAAUAUAAAGUCAUUUGAAGCAUGCUAAUGAAAGCAUGGUAAGCAUGGUAGUGUUAAAUUCUUAGAAAUAUGUAAUACCCAAAUAUGAAAUUUGUAUUAUUUAAGUGUUUCAAUAUGUUGGGUAUUCCUGAGUGGACACUUAUAAUUUUUGCUUUAGGAAGUUGAAGAAAGUUACAUUUAUGACGUGAAUUUUGUAAUAAGCCUCCUGCUCUAUGGGAAAGCCAUAUUGUGAAAGCCAUUUAAACAUGUAUGUAUUGUUUAAAUAUUAUUGCUUUUAUUAUACUCAUUAAAAAAGAAAUAAUGUGAUGUUAAUACAAUGAGUCAUAAAAUGUUCAAAUGCGUUGCGUCAAAAUUUUUAUGACAAUUUUUAUAUUUAUAAAAGUUUUGUCUUGUUUUAAUUACAUAAGUACAUGAUAGUUGUAACAAAUUUUUGUUCCAUCAGUUUUCCGGCAGGUAAAAAUCAAAAUAUACUCAUUGAAGUCAAAUGUUUUUCAGAUUAAAAAUUGCAAAUUUAAUAUAAUUGUUUUACGGAUUCAACAGUUUUCUCUUAGGUGGAAUAAUUACUUAAAACAUAUUACUUGUGCUUUUGAUACGCUGAGAACAGAAGAAGAUCUCGUCGAUGUAACUUUAAGCUGCGAAGGAAAAAGGAAUAAGAGCAGACAAAAUGCUAUUAUCUGCAUGUAGUACAUAUUUUAGAGAUUUAUUUAAGGAAAAUCCAUGUCAGCAUCCUGUUAUAAUAUCUCGUGAUGUAAAAUUCGAUGAUUUGGUUGCAUUGGUUGAUUUUAUGUAUCACGGUGAAUUAAAUGUGGUUCGGGAACAAUUAUCUAGUUUUUUAACAACUGCUGAACUGCUUGCUGUUCAGGGCCUUGCCGAUGGCUUAGUAGAUGGUUUAGUAGAGGUAUGUUUUUCAAAAUCGUUAAAUAUGAUUAGAUAUUUUCUGCUUAAAUUAAAAUAAUACACUUGUAUCACGUUAAACUGUGUAUCAGGAUGACAUUUUUAUAUCAACGUUAUUGUUUUUGUAUUCGUAAUGACGCAAUUUUAUUUGAUACUAGUGCUUCAAAAAAAUAAUUAAAAGUCAAUAGAUCUUGUUCGUAUAUUUGA